UACGAGGGGGGCAAAUGUUGUUCGGAAUCACUGGGCGUAAAGGGAGCGUAGGCGGGUUUCUAAGUCAGGUGUUUAAUCCCGGGGCCCAACCCCGGACAGGCACUUGAAACUGGGAAUCUUGAAUAGUGGAGAGGUCAGUGGAAUUGGGGGUGUAGCGGUGGAAUGCGUAGAGAUCCCCAAGAGCACCAGUUGCGAAGGCGGCUGACUGGACACAUAUUGACGCUGAGGAGCGAAAGUGUGGGGAGCGAACAGG
rnacentral:rRNA from 1 species